GAGUCUGUUUGGAAUAAUGAGAACUGCUAAUUACUCACAACCGUGGUUCAAUUCCACGGCACACUCA
rnacentral:tRNA from 1 species